rnacentral:lncRNA from 1 species
CGAGUCACCUGCUGCCACUAAACAUAGAUAAUCGUGCAUCAUGACAGCAAACACAACUCCUCGUGUCGAAACAAUUAUCGUCGGAUAAUCGUUUCGAUUCGGGUUCCCGAAAGUGUCUAAUUCGACACCGGAACCUACCGUCGCUCACCCGCCAUUUUCGAACCCUCAAGAUGAUGCGAGUGAACUGCCAACAAGGCUCAGCGACAAAACACGGAGCAACCAAACACCGUCGGAAAGAAUCCGAACCGGAAUCGCGUUCUUUCGGCGAAUUUCGCCGAAAAACGCACCGAAAUCAACCUUUCGAUUUCCGCGGAAGCUAACGGAUCAUGGACAAUCAGUCCAGAGGUCAAAAACACUCACGGGCACUGCCCACAGUAGCCACACGAUGCAUAAUUGCAUAAAAGCCCCUCAAUUUACAUAAAAUUCUAUCAUUUUAUGUAAUUUGAGCGAUCAAGCGACUCGUUCACGCAAACCGAGGACUUCCAAAGUCCGCAGAGACACGUACUGACAGGUCUCGACGUACCGGAGUCCGUGCUCACGAUCCGGAGCACAGCGGCUCGCUGUGGGAAGCGCGGGAGCAACCCGAAGGUUCAGCGAAUAGCGCGCAGUCAAGGAAGAUCGCGCCGAACAGGACUAACCGGACACUUCAGAUCCAAGGGAAGGUGAGCAUUGUGAUCAGCACUGACCAGCGGUCACCAUGCUCACCUCCGGAGGCAUCGUAACAGCCUCGGAUCGCCGGAAAAAUAAGCACAAACCCGAAACAGCAGCCAAAAAGGCUGAAACGGAGCGACGUUGUCAAAACAAGGUCGAACGCGGCGCGGAUUACCGGGGCACCAUCAUAUGUGAGGGGUGCCGUUAGGUGAAGCCGUGGGUUAGGGCGUGCCCGCUCGUUGACAGCGCAUCCGGUUGAGGCCUCACGGCCGAACAUCCCUCGAUGGGAGUGUUCGCACACGCUUACUCGUGCUACCGUUCGUUCGUUUUAGGUAACAGGUGUACAGUGUUAAAAGUAUAAAAGUUACGUUCAAGAAUGGAAGCUAGGAAACUAGCCUUAAAGUUAUGUGUCUAUCAUUGUUCUCGAUCAUUAGUGAUCUAACAUUUGUACAUUCCCAUUUCGAUUUAGUAUAUCGUAAUAUUAAAAAAGUGAUCAUACCGUGAUCGUUGUAUCAGGUCUCGUACAGUAUCAAGAGAUGAAAUUUCACGUAGGAUGUGAACAAGUAUUCAGUAAGUUGACUUAACUGAUACUUAUAUUUAUGAAGUACAUAUUCAUAAGAGAUGAAAUAUUUCUGAAAUAAAGCUUAUAUAAGUUGUAAUUCUACUGCUUACAGUUCGGGAAAUAGUUAGUGUAUUCGUGUGUUUUUCUGGUAAAGAUAUUAUAUAUAUCUUGUAUCUCCCCAAAGUGAACGAGACCAAUCCAGGCUGGGUGGAUCAUGAUCCGAGGUUUAUAGGUGUUCUUCAGGGUGUUGCCGAGUUGCUUCGGGGUUACGACGACUUUUUGUUUGCAGUUCUAGCCUAAUUUAGAUGCCGGCUUUACAGACUAAAGCUGGAUUUAAGGUGAAUCAUGUUUCAUUGAGAAAUUUAAGGACAAAACCCUGAUCACAUUAUGGAGUUCUCUGCAGAGGUUCUCGAGAGUGUUCAGUUGCUUGCUACUAGGUUCCGAGUCAGCGUGAGAACGACGCUCGUUUUAGUUUUGCCGUAGUUUGAGCAGUAUAUAAUCGUUGAAAUCAGCCUUAGAACGUUAAAGUCGAAAGAUUGACUUUAAGAACGAAUGGAAUCCAAUCUCAUGGAAGAUUUGGUCGGAGGGUCCAGUGAUUUUAUCGAAUUAUACUAAGCGUUUGGACGAUACUUCUUUUUUCGCGUUUGAUAUAGUUCAACGCCGUUUUUGAGCGCAAAUUAAGGUUUAAGUGAAGUAUUACUUGAUCCAAUGUGUUAGUUCGAAAUUUUAUCGAAUAGGGACCAGAUUUUCCAAAUGAAGUGUCGAUUAAUUAGGUUGAAAUUAACGUCUUUUGAGUCUGAUUUCGUCGAUCUUCGUUUUUGGGCUUUAGUAAUGAGUUUAGCUGCUUAUCUUGCAGCUAUUGCCGCUUUCACUCAGCUAAUGGAAGAGUUCGAAGGUUGGUCACUGGACGACCAAGUCUCGACGUUCCUUGGAAGGUUCUGUGAGGAAGGGAGCAGCCUUUAUCGAGACGCUGUACGAGUUCGUCGCUUUUUGGUUGCUCCGCUUCUUUAGCUCGCUUAAGCCGCUAAAGAUACAUCUCUCUCUUUUUGGGAUCUCUCUCUCUCUUCUUCUUCCACGUUCCAAUGAAGAGACCGGAGAUCAUUGGAGGUGACUCGGAGUCUCUGCACGACCCAAGUUUAUCUAUCCGAGUUCUACACUUUACUGGUUUUAUCGGAACGACGGUGCUUAGACGGUCGAACAUGGCCAUGUUCCAUUACCGACAUGGCCAUGUCGUUCGUCUUUUACGAUUUAAAAGCGUCUAGCUACGUAAAAGAGUGAAAAUCGUAAGGUUAGUAGGAGAUUGAAUAGGUUUUUGAACAAGAUUGGAAAAUCUUGUACAUCCUAUCUAGGUGUGAAGUAAGGUGUGCGAGCUUGAGACGUUAAACGUUUUCAAGUCACAUAAUGUCGGCACGGCGGCCUCCGGCCGGCCUCGUUCCAACGAGGCCGGUUCGGGCUUUAUUCCGAAUCACUCACCCAAAGAACAAGACCCGAAGGGCUCGAAAGGGCUAGAGAUGCCUUCCCUCGUGCUACUAGGACCAUUCAAAGACUAGUAGCACGAGUGGAACCUAAGACAGCCCUUCCAGGGCAAGGCNACCUCCGGAGGCAUCGUAACAGCCUCGGAUCGCCGGAAAAAUAAGCACAAACCCGAAACAGCAGCCAAAAAGGCUGAAACGGAGCG